rnacentral:rRNA from 1 species
AUCACUCUAAGCGGUGGAUCACUCGGCUCAUGGGUCGAUGAAGAACGCAGCAAACUGUGCGUCAUCGUGUGAACUGCAGGACACAUGAACAUCGACAUUUUGAACGCAUAUCGCAGUCCAUGCUGUUUUGUACUUUAAUUAAUUUUAUAGUGCUGCUUGGACUACAUAUGGUUGAGGGUUGUAGACUUUGCUAAUUAAGUUGUUUAAAAUUUUUCGAAGUUUUAAGCAUAUGCAUAAAUUAUUCAUAAUAUUAAUAUAUAUAUGGAUGUACUACUCAUUGUAUAUUUUGUAUGAGAAAACUGAAGAGUUAUAUUUUCUUUUUCCAAAUCAAAUAAUACUGAGGAAUGUCUAGCAUAAAAGAAAAAUAUAUUUUUCCUUCAUCUAGAAUUGCCUCUUAUUAAUGAUGUGUGAUAAAAGAAUUGUUGUAAAAUUUAUGGAACUUCAGAACAAAAGUAUUAUCCAUUAUAUUGAAUAAUAAAUAAUGUUCAAUUAACAUUGUUUUAUACAACCUCAACUCAUAUGGGACUACCCCCUGAAUUUAAGCAUAUUAAUUAGGGGAGGAAAAGAAACUAACAAGGAUUUUCUUAGUAGCGGCGAGCGAAAAGAAAUCAGUUCAGCACUAAGUCACUUUGUCUAUAUGGCAAAUGUGAGAUGCAGUGUACGGAACAUCAACAUUCUAGUAUGAGAAGUUAACGAUUUAAGUCCUUCUUAAAUGAGGCUUUUUAUCCAUAGAGGGUGCCAGGCCCGUAUAACGUUAAUGAUUACUAGAUGGUUUUCAAAGAGUCGUGUUGCUUGAUAGUGCAGCACUAAGUGGGUGGUAAACUCCAUCUAAAACUAAAUAUAACCAUGAGACCGAUAGUAAACAAGUACCGUGAGGGAAAGUUGAAAAGAACUCUGAAUAGAGAGUUAAAUAGUACGUGAAACUGCUUAGAGGUUAAGCCCGAUGAACCUGAAUAUCCGGUAUGGAAAAUUCAUCAUUAGAAUUGUAAUAUUUUAAACAAUAUUAUAAUAAUAGUGUGCAUUUUUUCCAUAUAAGGACAUUGUAAUCUAUUAGCAUAAAUAUUUAUCAUAAAAUUAUGUCUGAUUGCUUAUUUGAAUUAUAUGCUUGGCAUUUUAACAUAAAAUAAAAGAUAUAAAUUUGAUAAAGUGCUGAUAGAUUUAUAUGAUUACAGUGCGUUAAUUUUUCGGAAUUAUAUAAUGGCAUAAUUAUCAUUGAUACUUGUGUUUAUUAUAUGCAUUUGUAUGAUUAACAAUGCGAAAGAUUCAGAAUACCUUCGGGACCCGUCUUGAAACACGGACCAAGGAGUCUAACAUAUGUGCAAGUUAUUGGGAUAUAAACCUAAUAGCGUAAUUAACUUAACUAUUAAUGGGAUUAGUUUUUUAACUAUUUAUAGUUCAUUAACGCAAUCCCGGGGCGCUCUUUAUAGUUAUGUAUAAUAAUAUUUAUUAUUUAUGCCUCUAACUGGAACGUACCUUGAGCAUAUAUGCUGUGACCCGAAAGAUGGUGAACUAUACUUGAUCAGGUUGAAGUCAGGGGAAACCCUGAUGGAAGACCGAAACAGUUCUGACGUGCAAAUCGAUUGUCAGAAUUGAGUAUAGGGGCGAAAGACCAACCGAACCAUCUAGUAGCUGGUUCCUUCCAAAGUUUCCCUCAGGAUAGCUGGUGCAUUUAACUGUUGUAUAAAAUAAUCUUAUCUGGUAAAGCGAAUGAUUAGAGGCCUUAGGGUCGAAACGAUCUUAACCUAUUCUCAAACUUUAAAUGGGUAAGAACCUUAACUUUCUUGAUAUGAAGUUUAAGGUUAUGAUAUAAUGUGCCCAGUGGGCCACUUUUGGUAAGCAGAACUGGCGCUGUGGGAUGAACCAAACGUAAUGUUACGGUGCCCAAAUUAACAACUCAUACAGAAACCAUGAAAGGCGUUGGUUGCUUAAAACAGCAGGACGGUGAUCAUGGAAGUCGAAAUCCGCUAAGGAGUGUGUAACAACUCACCUGCCGAAGCAACUAGCCCUUAAAAUGGAUGGCGCUUAAGUUGUAUACCUAUACAUUACCGCUAAAGUAGAUGGUUUAUAUUACUUGUAAUAUAAAUUUUGAAACUUUAGUGAGUAGGAAGGUACAAUGGUGUGCAUAGAAGUGUUUGGCGUAAGCCUGCAUGGAGCCGCUAUUGGUACAGAUCUUGGUGGUAGUAGCAAAUAAUCGAAUGAGACCUUGGAGGACUGAAGUGGAGAAGGGUUUCGUGUGAACAGUGGUUGAUCACGAGUCAGUCGGUCCUAAGUUCAAGGCGAAAGCCGAAAAUUUUCAAGUGAAGAAAAAUCUAAAUAUAUUUGUCAUCUAACCGAUUUUUAUAUACUUGAAUAAUUUUGAACGAAAGGGAAUACGGUUCCAAUUCCGUAACCUGUUGAGUAUCCGUUUGUUAUUAAAUAUGGGCCUCGUGCUCAUCCUGGCAACAGGAACGACCAUAAAGAAGCCGUCGAGAGGUAUCGGAAGAGUUUUCUUUUCUGUUUUAUAGCCGUACUACCAUGGAAGUCUUUCGCAGAGAGAUAUGGUAGAUGUGCUAGAAGAGCAUGACAUAUACUGUUGUGUCGAUAUUUUCCCUCGGACCUUGAAAAUUUAUGGUGGGGACACGCAAACUUCUCAACAGGCCGUACCAAUAUCCGCAGCUGGUCUCCAAGGUGAAAGGUCUCUAGUCGAUAGAAUAAUGUAGGUGCUUCGCA